UCUCUCUCUCUCUGUAUCUUUCUCUUUCUCUUUCUAUCUCUUUCUCUUUUAUUUUUGCACGCUCGACAAGUACCACCGAGACUUGUCAGUUGGGUCAGAACGCGGUCAAAACCGAUUCAAACUCAUUUUUCUUCUCGUUCGUUCAGCUCUCUCGCGCGAUUACCUCGCACGAAUAUAAUAUACAGGCCAUCGUUCGAACGAAAAACCGAAUACACGUGAAAUUUCAAGCGAACGAGGAAUUGCGAGGAUACGAAAUAAUGGCUGAUUAAUGGCGGUCUCGUGGACGAGGAGAAAAAAUGAGA